rnacentral:rRNA from 1 species
UACGUAAAAAACAAGCGUUGUCCGGAAUCAUUGGGCGUAAAGAGCGUGUAGGCGGUCCGAUAAGUCGGCUGGGAAAGUCAAGGGCUCAACCCUUGAAUGCCGGCCGAUACUGUCGGGCUAGAGUCCGGAAGAAGCGAGUGGAAUUCCUGGUGUAACGGUGAAAUGCGCAAAUAUCAGAAAAAACACCAAUGGCGAAAGCAGCUCGCUGGGACGGUACUGACGCUGAAACGCGAAAGCAUAAAAAGCAAACAGG